GAUGAACGCUAGCGGCAGGCUUAAUACAUGCAAGUCGAGGGCUCAGCAAUGGGACCGGCGCACGGGUGCGUAACACGUAUGCAACCUGCCUGUAUCUGGGGGAUAGCCCGAGGAAACUCGGAUUAAUACCGCAUACCACUGAGGGUCGGCAUCGAUUUUCAGUGAAAGAUUUAUCGGAUACAGAUGGGCAUGCGCAGGAUUAGCUAGUUGGUGUGGUAACGGCACACCAAGGCGACGAUCCUUAGGGGCUCUGAGAGGAGUAACCCCACACUGGCACUGAGACACGGCCCAGACUCCUACGGGAGGCAGCAGU
rnacentral:rRNA from 1 species